CUCUGUUUUAAAAGCACAUGGGAUAUAGUGCUGCUUUGUUUGGUUGUGUUUGAAGUCGCCCCAGAGGAGAGGCAGAUAAAUUGAGCAAUGCUGACUGUGUAUGUUGACAGCUGCUGGUGUAGGUCAACACAGCCUUGAUAUCACGGCAUAGAGAUGGCUUCAGCCUGUCUUUCAGCUCUGGACGAAGAGCUCUUGUACGUCUGGAGAAGAAGAGCUGUUUUAAGUGAUGGAGCUGAUCUACAGCACUUUGCAAAAUGGUUCCAUUUACCACAAUUGUUGCACUGUUUCUGGAAAGCAAAGCAUUAAGUUUGUCAGGGGCGUGGUAUCUGUUACAGUUUAUGCAGCGAUCUUGCACAACACAUACAUCAGCCUCCUGUUUUAGUUCUUUCGUGCUCUUCUCGGACUGUUCACGUAAUAAACAUAUAUUGACUGCUGA